rnacentral:rRNA from 1 species
GUGGGGAAUAUUGCACAAUGGAGGAAACUCUGAUGCAGCGACGCCGCGUGAGUGAAGAAGUAUUUCGGUAUGUAAAGCUCUAUCAGCAGGGAAGACAGUGACGGUACCUGACUAAGAAGCUCCGGCUAAAUACGUGCCAGCAGCCGCGGUAAUACGUAUGGAGCAAGCGUUAUCCGGAUUUACUGGGUGUAAAGGGAGUGUAGGUGGCAGCACAAGUCAGAAGUGAAAGCCCGGGGCUCAACCCCGGGACUGCUUUUGAAACUGUGCAGCUAGAGUGCAGGAGAGGUGAGUGGAAUUCCUAGUGUAGCGGUGAAAUGCGUAGAUAUUAGGAGGAACACCAGUGGCGAAGGCGGCUCACUGGACUGUAACUGACACUGAGGCUCGAAAGCGUGGGGAGCAAACAGGAUUAGAAACCCGAGUAGUCC